UACGUAGGGGGCGAGCGUUGUCCGGAUUUAUUGGGCGUAAAGAGCGUGUAGGCGGCCAGGUAGGUCUGCUGUGAAAACUCGAGGCUCAACCUCGAGACGUCGGCGGAAACCAUCUGGCUAGAGUCCGGAAGAGGAGAGUGGAAUUCCUGGUGUAGCGGUGAAAUGCGCAGAUAUCAGGAGGAACACCCAUUGCGAAGGCAGCUCGCUGGGACGUUACUGACGCUGAGACGCGAAAUCGUGGGGAGCAAACAGG
rnacentral:rRNA from 1 species